GGAGGCGUGGCCGAGUGGUCGAUGGCGGCAGUCUUGAAAACUGUUGUGCAGCAAUGCACCGGGGGUUCGAAUCCCUCCGCCUCCG
rnacentral:tRNA from 1 species